rnacentral:rRNA from 1 species
GCACAAGCGGUGGAGCAGUGUGGUUUAAUUCGAUGAUACGCGAGGAACCUUACCUGGGCUCAAAUGUAUGUUGACGUAUUCUGAAAGGGAUACUUCUUCGGACAAUAUACAAGGUGCUGCAUGGUUGUCGUCAGCUCGUGCCGUGAGGUGUCGGGUUAAGUCCCAUAACGAGCGCAACCCCUAUCAUUAGUUGCCAUCAGGUCAAGCUGGGGACUCUAAUGAAACUGCCUACGCAAGUAGUGAGGAAGGUGGGGAUGACGUCAAAUCAGCACGGCCCUUACGUCCAGGGCUACACACGUGCUACAAUGGCCGGUACAAAGGGCAGCUACCUGGUGACAGGAUGCUAAUCUCAAAAGCCGGUCUCAGUUCGGAUUGGAGGCUGCAACUCGCCUCCAUGAAGUCGGAAUCGCUAGUAACCGCAGAUCAGCUACGUUGCGGUGAAUACGUUCCCGGGCCUU